CUCACGCAGGAAGAAUCACGCGUGCCACACAAAUCUGGAAACAACUCUCCCCCCUCACGCGAACACCAGUAAACUAUAGCCCCCAAUUCUUGCAAAUCUCUGAAUCAUGCAGAAGAAGCCAAAUUUUCUCCUCUAUACCCAUGAACCAAAAGAAACCUUCAAUUUAUCAACCUGUCACUAUCUCAAUUCCUCAUCUCCCAAUUUUAUCCAAAACGGUGAAAUCAACAUAGAGGUAGCUUUAAUCAAACAAUUUUGUGGUAUUGGAUCAGAGUUAAAAGCAGAAGAUAAACAACUGUCAAGCAAGCAAGCUGAGGGGAUUUGUCAAAAGAAUUUGAUGAAAGUGCUAAUUUUUUCAAAAAGUGUUUCAAAUCAGAAGAUCUUAGGUAAACAUGUCACCACAGGGGUUUGCUAAUGACACUUAUCAGUAGCUAUUCAUGCAUAUUUGUUUGAGCUUGCCCUUUAUUAGAAAAGGGGUUCUGAAGAAGAGCUGUUUGCAAUUGCGUGAUGGAAACACGAGAUAUUAAGCUUUGCAAGGAAUAUCAAAAGGGGUCAUGGUGCUAAUGGAAUUGAUCCCUCAAAGUACUUUGCAAUAUUAUUUUCCUUAUUUCUUUUGUCUAACAUUUGACUUGAUUGAUAUGUAAUGGGAAUUUAUCAAUAGUUGAUUGAAGUAUGUAUAUAUUUUCUUUUAUGCAAUAGUUUAUUCAAAUGUUUAUAAACUAUUUGGACUCGACACCAAAUGGCCUUGCUUAAAAAAAUAGUCUUUGCUGGAAUGUAACAUAAAAAUAAUUUUAUUAAGAUAGUAAGAUCACGGAUGAUGUUAAAGCAGAAACGAUAUACCAAAUUUUUAACUUCAUAUAUUAGCCAUUAGUUUGUUGGUUGUUAUUAAAAGCCGGUUGAAUAUAUUUGGCAUUGAAACACCAAGCCAAAAAAUAGUCUUUGUAGAUAAAUAUUAUUGUUAACUUCACCAAAAUACACAUUGUUUAUGUAACUUUAGUAUAAUUAAGUUCCAAAUUUUAUAUUUAGAAAAAACACGGGAUGCGUCCCGGAAGGGUUAUGUUUAUGCAUAUAUCAACUUUGUUAAAUAGUAUAAAGGGAUGAUGUUACUUAAUUUUAUGAUAAUUAAGUUUCAAGUUUUAUAUUUAGAAAAAAUGCGGGGCAUUCCAGAAGCGUUAUGUGGGGUUCGAACCACGACCCUGCAUAUAUAACUCUAUCUUGGUACUAACAUUUUUGUGAUUGAUUGAUAUAAUG